rnacentral:rRNA from 1 species
AACGAACGCUGGCGGCAUGCCUAACACAUGCAAGUCGAACGAACCCUUCGGGGUUAGUGGCGCACAGGUGCGUAACGCGUGGGGAUCUGCCCUUUGCUUCGGAAUAACAGUUAGAAAUGACUGCUAAUACCGGAUGAUGUCGAAAGACCAAAGAUUUAUCGGCAAAGGAUGAACCAGCGUAGUAUUAGCUAGAUGGUGGGGUAAAGGCCUACCAAGGCGACGACCCUUAGCUGGUCUGAGAGGAUGAUCAGCCACACUGGGACUGAGACACGGCCCAGACUCCUACUGGAGGCAGCAGUGGGGAAUAUUGGACAAUGGGCGAAGGACUGAUCCAGCCAUGCCGCGUGAGUGAUGAAGGCCUUAGGGUUGUAAAGCUCUUUUACCAGGGAUGAUAAUGACAGUACCUGGAGAAUAAGCUCCGGCUAACUCCGUGCCAGCCGCCGCUGUAAUAC